rnacentral:rRNA from 1 species
UACAGGGGGUGCUAGCGUUGUUCGGAAUUACUGGGCGUAAAGGCGCGUAGCGGUGCCGCAAGUCAGGGGUGAAAUCCCGGAGCUUAACUCCGGAAUUGCUUUUGAUACUGCGGUGCUAGAGUAUGUUAGAGGAAAUCGGAAUUCCUAGUGUAGAAGUGAAAUUCGUAGAUAUUAGGAAGAACACCGGUGGCGAAGGCGGAUUUCUGGGACAUAACUGACGCUGAGGCGCGAAAGCGUGGGGAUCAAACAGG